GUGCUCACUUCGGCAGCACAUGCACUAAAAUUGGAACAAUACUGAGAAGAUCAGCAUGGCCCCUGCACAAGGAUGACAUGCAAAUUCGUGAGGUAUUGCAUAUAUUU